UGCCUAAGCUCUUGACUGUCUGGAUUGUGCUGUGGGGGCUUCCGUAGACCGUUUUCCUCGGUUAGGAUUUAACAUGGCGGCUCCCUUUCCAGAGAUCACAGAAGUGACCUGUGAUGGCAAAAUCUAGUACUGGCCAGCCGAUGGGCCUGUAAGCAGAAGAGAGUGGACCCGGAAUUAGCUGUCGAGAUCUGCCAGAUGAGGCCAGCAACUUUCCUCAGCUAUUACAGGGCUUCUCUUUGGAAACCAGCCUCUUUAAUCCUGCUAUGAUGCCAAGAGGUAGCCCAGCAACUCACACCUUGUCUUGCUCUGAGCCACUUUCUUGUGUGUCCAUGUCUGACGCCUUAUGCUGAAGCUGAUGUGGCUCUGCACCAAGUUCCGGCAUCAAGAGGGUGCUUGUUAACUGGCA